rfam:Homo sapiens chromosome 3, GRCh38 reference primary assembly.
GCUGGGUGUGGUGGUGCAUGCCUGUGGUCCAAGCUACUUGGGAGGCUGAGGUGGGAGGAUCGCUUGAGCCUGGGAGGCAGAGGUUUGCAGUGAGGUGAGAUUGUGCCACUGCACUCCAGCCCAGGUGACAGAGUGAGACCCCAUCUCAU